UACGUAGGGUGCGAGCGUUAAUCGGAAUUACUGGGCGUAAAGCGUGCGCAGGCGGUUUUGUAAGCCAGAUGUGAAAGCCCCGGGCUUAACCUGGGAAUGGCAUUUGGGACUGCAAGGCUUGAGUGCGGCAGAGGAGACUGGAAUUCCACGUGUAGCGGUGAAAUGCGUAGAGAUGUGGAGGAACACCAGUGGCGAAGGCGGCUUUCUGGUCUGUAACUGACGCUGAGGCGCGAAAGCGUGGGGAGCAAACAGG
rnacentral:rRNA from 1 species